AAAUUUCAAAUAAGACCAUUGGCAGAUAAAAAUAAAGCAAUUUUUUCUUUUUUUUUUGUACUGGGGAUUGAGACCAGGGGCUCUUUUACCAUUCCCUGCUCCUUAAAAAGAUUUUUUUUCUUUCUUUUCCCUUCCUUCCUUUCCCUGUCUCCCCUCUCUUGUUCCCCUUUCCAUUUGAAGAUUUUCUUCCUUUUUCACAAUAUCUAUUAUACAUUUUGUUCUUUAUUUACCCUGUCGGUUUCUCACACCAGAGAAACAGUGCCAUAUUUAAAUAUGAGUGUCCAGUUUAUUUCACUUAAGAGCAUGGUUUCAAGGUACAUUCAUUUAGCUAGAAAUGUGUCAAGUUUAUCCUUUAUGGCAGAGUAGUACGCCAUUGUAUUUUAAAAAAAACAAAAAAAAACACACAUCUUUAUCUGUUCAUCAGUUGAUGGGCAUUUGGACUUUUUCCAUGAUUCAGCUAUUACAAACUGUGCUGCGAUAAACAUGGGUGUGCAUAUAUCACUGUGGUAUGAUGCUUUUAAUUCUUUUGGGAAGAUACCAAGAAGGGGAGUAGCUGGAUUACAUAGAAUCUCUAGUUUCAGUUUUGUUCUGUUUUUUGUUUUUUGGUACUGGGGAUCGAACUCCGGACCUUGCGCUUUGGAGGCAGGGGGCUGAACCACUGAGCUAAAUCCCUGAUUUUCUAUGUUGAUUUUAUAUCCUGAAAUUUUACUGAAUUUAUUAGUUUCAACAGUUUUUUGAUGGAGAUGUUGGG
rnacentral:lncRNA from 1 species